UGCCAGACUCCUACGGGAGGCAGCAGUGGGGGAUAUUGCACAAUGGGGGAAACCCUGAUGCAGCGACGCCGCGUGGGCGAAGAAGCGUCUCGGUGCGUAAAGCUCUGUCAGCAGGGAAGAAAGUGACAGUACCUGACGAAGAAGCCCCGGCUAACUACGUGCCAGCAGCCGCGGUAAUACGUAGGGGGCAAGCGUUAUCCGGAUUCACUGGGCGUAAAGGGAGCGCAGGCGGCGCGGCAAGUCAGGUGUGAAAACCCGGGGCUCAACCCCGGGACUGCAUUUGAAACUGCGGGGCUGGAGUGUAGGAGGGGUAAGCGGAAUUCCUGGUGUAGCGGUGAAAUGCGUAGAUAUUAGGAGGAACACCAGUGGCGAAGGCGGCUUACUGGACGAUGACUGACGCUGAGGCUCGAAAGCGUGGGGAGCAAACAGGAUUAGAUCCCCCGGUA
rnacentral:rRNA from 1 species